rnacentral:rRNA from 1 species
AUUGAACGCUAGCGGGAUGCUUUACACAUGCAAGUCGAACGAGUGGCGGACGGGUGAGUAAUAUAUCGGAACGUGCCCAGUAGCGGGGGAUAACUACUGGAAAGAGUGGCUAAUACCGCAUAAUAUUGGAGCGGCCGAGAUCGGAUUAGCUAGUUGGUGGGGUAAAGGCUAACCUAGGAAACGAUCCGUAGCUGGUUUGAGAGGAAGACCAGCCACACUGGGACUGAGACACGGCCCAGACUCCUACGGGAGGCAGCAGUGGGGAAUAUUGCACAAUGGGAGCAAGCCUGAUGCAGCCAUGCCGCGUGUAUGAAGAAGGCCUUAGGGUUGUAAAGUACUUUCAGUCGGGAGGCGUUACCGACAGAAGAAGCACCGGCUAACUCCGUGCCAGCAGCCGCGGUAAUAC